UACGAAGGGGGGCUAGCGUUGCUCGGAAUUACUGGGCGUAAAGGGAGCGUAGGCGGGUUAUCAAGUUGGAGGUGAAAGCCCAGGGCUCAACCUGGGAACUGCAUCCGAUACGGCGGGACUGGGAGUGUGGGGAGAGGUUGGUGGAAUUCCCAGUGUAGAGGUGAAAUUCGUAGAUAUUGGGAAGAACACCGGUGGCGAAGGCGGCCAACUGGACCACAACUGACGCUGAGGCGCGAAAGCGUGGGGAGGCGAACAGG
rnacentral:rRNA from 1 species